rnacentral:rRNA from 1 species
CGUCGAGCGACAGAAGGGAGUUUGCUCCCGAGAUAGUUAGCGGCGGACGGGUGAGUAACACGUGGGUAACCUGCCUGUAAGACUGGGAUAACUCCGGGAAACCGGAGCUAAUACCGGAUAGUUCCUUGAACCGCAUGGUUCAAGGAUGAAAGACGGUUUCGGCUGUCACUUACAGAUGGACCCGCGGCGCAUUAGCUAGUUGGUGGGGUAAUGGCUCACCAAGGCGACGAUGCGUAGCCGACCUGAGAGGGUGAUCGGCCACACUGGGACUGAGACACGGCCCAGACUCCUACGGGAGGCAGCAGUAGGGAAUCUUCCGCAAUGGACGAAAGUCUGACGGAGCAACGCCGCGUGAGUGAUGAAGGUUUUCGGAUCGUAAAGCUCUGUUGUUAGGGAAGAACAAGUGCGAGAGUAACUGCUCGCACCUUGACGGUACCUAACCAGAAAGCCACGGCUAACUACGUG